UAUUAAAAAUAUUAUCCAUUUGUACUGUUGAAAACUGGUAUGGUUGACAGAAAAACUAUACAGUAACAUGUGCUGUGCCAUGUCUAUCUUAUUAUGAUGUACAAAGAGCAAUUUUUAAUAGCAUAAAUGGAUUAUUUUUUCAACA
rfam:Gossypium arboreum cultivar AKA8401 contig_20726_1, whole genome shotgun sequence.